CCCCGCCAGCGGGCUGCUCCGGGGCGCGGGGCUGGCGCGAUCCUCCCGGCUUGGCCCGGCCGCGCCGCUGCGCCGCGGCCCCUCGCGCCCUCCUUUUGGCUCCUCGCCCCAGAAAACCCAGCUGCCCCUCUCGGGUCUCUGCGGACCCGGUGCCGUCAACCUUUGACCCAUUGUGUCCCACAAGUAUUUCGCUAUCCCUAAACUCUGCGCGAACCAGCCGCCGCCCUCACGAACGUUUGACCACUUUUAACUAACAAGUGAAACGAGCAGAGGUUUCCGUGCUGCACCGAGAACUUUCCCUAGACCCUCUUCUGCACUCUCCAGGGCUACCCCAGCCGAUCACCCUCCGGAGCGCUCGGACCCUGACACCCGCGCGGAGGUAGGGGAGAACCAAACGGGGAUACCAGGUGGUUAGGUGUUGAGUGCUGGAAACAAGGAGUAAUUAACAUUGAGAUAAAAGGUGUCAUCUGAUGGCAAUGCUGGUUCUUGAGCUGAACUCUGACGUUUCGUAUGCCAAGGCAAAUGGAGUCAACUACAUCCAUAGUGUUGACUUCCUCACAGUGAACUGUUGACCUUUAAUUGUAACUUCAUGAUAAAAUUAAGUUAAGAUCUCUGGUAUUCAUUGCCCUAUUUCUUCGAUCCAACCCACACAUGAGUCCAUCUUCUCAGAGUGACAAAACACCAUCGGUUUUGUGUGACUCAUAUGCAAAACUAAAUGCUUUCAUCUGUGUGGUCUGCUGAUGGGAAAUAAAAUCAGAUAUUUCACUUCUAACUUCAUCAAGCAAGAGAAAAAUCUGUUGUGAUUCCAAGAAGAGACGAACUCAAUUGAAAUACCAUGUGGCAUCAAUUUGUUUGCAAGCGCAAAUCAAAUGGCAGUUUGGGUUCCUUCUGAUGAUCCAGAAUAUGCUGUAUUAAAUUUUUAAAGGUUAUCAGAGCAAAGAAAACUUAGCAUUCAAAAAAUUAAGAAACUACGUGAAUCCCAAGAAUAUAUCCAUAUACCCACAGAGGUCUUCAGAUACUUGGAUGAAAUCUGCUCAGGAACAUUAAAAAAUGCCAGUGUUUGCUUCAGUCACCAAUUGUGAGAGAAGACUAGAAAUAGAAUUUGUCAUGAAAUUUAAAACUUCACACACCACGUGCUGCUUCUUUUGAAGAAAAAAUGGAGAGCUGGUCGUCUCUCUGAAAUUCUGAUGUGGACUCUACCUUACAACUUUACAAGAAAAGAGGCAACGUGUGAAAUGGAGAUUGCAUAAUCUUGUCUUGAAACGAGAUUCAUCUGGAAGCUUCUAGCCUUCUCAGUAAAAUUCAAAUGAUAUUUAAAAAGUUAACAUGGCCCCCUGGCUUCCCCUUGGUCUGGGUCAAGGCUCCGGCAGCCCCUGCUCCCAGGGGGCGGGGCUGAGGACAUCCCGCGGCUGCUGGUGUGCUGGGCGGGUGACACGCACGAGCAAAUAAAUACUCCGAACGUAAUGAGAGCCAGAGACCAUUCUUGCAACUUUUCUGUAAAGUUUUAAAGUAGUUCAAAACAAAAAGAACAUAAAAAUGUUUAUGUGGGUAAGAAGAGCAAUUUCACCAGAAACAUAGCUUACUUUACAUUUCUUCCACGUAUGUAUGUGCUAUAUAUUAUUUUUUUGUUGUUCAUGUGUGCAUACAUUUAUAGGUAUAGUCUUUUUGUUUCAGUUUCUCUAAGAUUCUGAUACAUUCCAAAGCAAAAGAGAAAAACCUUACAAAGUGCUUCAGGAAGACAAUAAAAAGGAGGACUUCUGAACGUGUGUAAGAUUUAUUUCGCUUCUUAAUAGUUGUAAUGUAUUGGUCUAAAGGACCGUCAUGAUGAAUUUGAGUAUAUCAGAUUAGGAUACAGUAAAGAGAGAAAUGAAUUUAACUUUGUUCUGAUUUUUGAAAUAUCACUCAAUUAAAACUUUCUUUAAUAAAGAUGAGUGCAUUAGUUACAGCUGCCUGAGGGAAUGUCUGAUUUGGUUCCUGGCUAUUAAUGAAUGUUUUAUAUGGCUAUUUACUCCUCAAUAAAAUAAAAAGAGAUGUGUUCCCACAGCAACCCCAGAAGUAGACGUUAACUUUUUUCUUUUCUUCCUGAUGUAGAACUUAAUCUAAGCCCUAUAUUUCUCUUUCAAAUGAUCAGCCACAGAAU